GUCGUGGCAGAAGAAGCCUUGCACGUUCACGGUGAACGUGUCCGUGUACUCGAAGUAGUACGCCAGCAUCACCGUCCCUGCCAUGAUCACCAUCUGGAAAUAGAGCAUGCUGCUGGUUGUGACUGCAGGAUGAGGAGCAGGUACCUCGGGGGACAGUGCUCUCCAUUCCCUUGAGGCUGGGCACAGAUGUGUCUCAUGCUUUGCUCAAAGCCUUGUGAGGGUAGACUGGGCAGGACACUUCCAGCUGGAAGCCUUUGGAAGACCGAGUUGGUUCCCCUCGACAUGAAACCACGUUGGCUUAUACCCCCACCAAGCAAAGACAAGGAGCAGAGCUCACCACCGAUAUGAGAUGAAUAUGUUGCAGGGGCAAAGGAAGCCAAAACAAACCGAAAAACCCAAACCUUUUGUUGCUGAAAGCCACUGAGAUUUUAAAGAUUCUUUUCUGCAGCAAAUUUUAGUCCUGAAUAAAUACUCAGUGUAGGUUCACACGUGAGAACUACACAGUGGUAUUUUCCUAUAUAAUUUACUCUCAUUCCCAGUUAUGAUUUAAUCUUGGGAAAGAUUAUGAACAGUAGUAUGUGAUGGUCAUGCUGGUUCUGCCUGUAUCUGGCCUCAGGAAAGAAAUUUAGACCAUCAACCUCAAAAUGAUACAUUUUGCUGAGAAAAGGGGACUAGCGGAGAGCAGAGAGGAAGAAGAUGAGAAGUGCGUUUGGUUUGGAAGAGGUUUACAUCAGAAAAGAAUGCCUGUCACCUUGUCACUGCUGUGACUUCUGCAUGCCACUGGGUGUGGCAAAAAAAAUAGAGAGUCCGAGCCUAAGACUUGACAGCACACAAUGUCCAUACCGUUGUCUCUUUUUCAGCAGAUGGGGAAAAGGAGUUACUGUAUCAAUAUGCAAUGCAAUAAAUCUGACUGUCUUCAGAGCAGAGGACACAUUGUUCUUUGAGUACCAACCGCACAGCUUUAAUUAGUGCUGUGGAGUCUAAGAGGGAGGACUGAACCAAGAAUCCGGAUCUCUAGGGUCCUCUCCCUCUAAGCAUGGUCUAUGAAACACAGAUUUCAUAUUCAUAUAUUUUUCCUUUUACAGCCGCACCUGUGGCAUGUGGAAGUUCCUAGGCUAAGGGUCAAAUAGGAGCUGCAGCUGCCAGCUUACACUACAGCAACAUCUGCAAC